CAGAAAUGUGCCAUGAAUUUGUCUCUGGGCUGAACAGACAAACAAACAAAAAACCCAAACCCGCGAAAUCUCUGGCCCUCUUCCCUAACCAUUCAAGAAGAAAAUUUCUUUGCGAAGGUACUUAUACACUACUUUUCAGUAUCCUUACUUAUCCUGGUCAAAGAAAAUAGGACCAAGCUGACACUCUUUCCAGCCCUUCUCAAAUGCGGACCUAAGCUCCUACAUUCAAGAAAAGACUUUAGGGAUUGGAAGCCCCCCACCCCCAUCCCGCUUAGAUAGGACGACCUUUAUUUUUCAGUCCUCCAACCCCCCAAAGCAAAGGGAAAAUUGCACCCUGUUCAUCAACAGAGGUCACUUCUUUGAUCCCACUGUGAGACCAGCAGAACACAAGGAAUCUUUCCUACUGUAUCAACCCGGAUAAAUAGGACUGGGGGCUGCUCCCUUUAUCCCUGUCCGGCUUUCUGGCCCAUGAAGGCUGAUUUGCUCUGUCUUCUGACAUUACCUGUUUGCUUUACACCAUAAAACAAAUAACUGCACCUCUAGUGAGAUUCCCCUUUGUCCCUAGGUAUCAGAAUGGCUUGUGGGUUUGGCUUAAAGCUACAGAAAAGACAGAGGGAGAGAAGAAAAAAGGUAUUUUGCCUGAGGACUUGAAGUCUCCCCCCCACCCCCACCCCGUUUCCCUCCGCUUGACUGACUUUCUCACACUCGGAUUCCCUGCAGCCUGCCAGAGCCGAGGUAGCUGCACGGCCAAGAGCUAUCCUGGGAGAGCUAUUGAAAGAGCCUUGAAACUUUUUUUUUUGUUUCAAAUUCUGCGACACUUGAGCCGCUCUGCACCCAGUUUUUGGAUGGAGAAAAGGAUAGUCAAGAAAGCCAAGUGUUCAUCAAGAGAACAGGACUCAGGAAUGCUUGGAACAAGAGUCCUGGUGGCCAUGAAGAGGCAUUAG
rnacentral:lncRNA from 1 species